CCAACAAGAUGGUGAAAAAAGAAAAGAAAAAGAGAGAGCGAGGCCGACGGGGAAUCCAUCCUACAGUGAGCUCUUCUUCUCAAUCAAUCUCUCUCUCUCUCCCCUCAACUCACGACUUCCUUCUAUUCCUUUUCAUUCCGAGUCGUCGCCUUGCAGGCAGGCACAUCAUGCCAAACCCAUCCCGGAUUCUCCCCACCGUCCGGCCGCCGCCCUGCUCCCGGCCGAGAGCUGAUGUCCCUCGGCAGCGGUGUUCGAUUUGGUGGUUUCCCUCCGUGGAAAGCUAAAAUCGCACCCAAAUCCUACCAUAUUUUCGGUGGCAGUCACGCUUGGCCUAUGGUGGCGCUGGCGGCGGCGAUUGGGUCGCCAUGGCAUUGGUGGAGGCGAUUGGGUUCACGGUGGCACUGGCGGCAGUGAUUAUUCGGGCGCCGAUCAGUAGGGAGGAGUGGCUGCCGGAGAACACUGGUGGUAAAAUUCCAUGUCCAUCGUUGCUCCGUGGAACAUCGGCGGUGACAGGAUCUGAACGGAGGAUCUGGUUUUAGGGACACCGGCAGUACAAUUCUUGAUUAGAAAAGGAAGCCAUGCACCGUGCUACUUUGCGAAAUUAAACCGCAACAUAGUUUCCUUUUGUUGUGGGCCCUCAACGGACCAACUGCCUAACCAGGAGGAGAGGACUAGGGCACUAGGCUGAAAUGGGUCGUCAAAAUCUCACAUUAUCCUCACUUGCAUCAAAACACAGUGAAAGAAAGAAAAAGAGAGAGCGAGAUGGGAAUCCAUCCCACAGUGAGUUAUUCUUCUCACUUUCUCCCCUCUACUCCUGACUUCCUUCCCUUUCGAGUCGUCGCCUCGCAGGCAGGCAGCAAGAGCCCCCGCAGCACACUCCAAUAUGCUCCCGAGUUCUCAGCCACCUAAUCAUCCCUACCACUGUCCUUCUCAGUCCGCCGCUCUGCUCGUGGCUCAAGUACGUGUGCCGUCCGCCCAAUUUCAUCUCUUGUUGUGCUAGGGUUGAGAAAUUUGGGGUGAUCAAAGGACCGCAAAGGGCGCACGGCCAACAUGAGCUACAUCGGCAACAACACAAUGAAGG